rnacentral:rRNA from 1 species
AGAUUGAACGCUGGCGGCAGGCCUAACACAUGCAAGUCGAGCGGUAGAGAGGUGCUUGCAUCUCUUGAGAGCGGCGGACGGGUGAGUAAUGCCUAGGAAUCUGCCUAGUGGUGGGGGAUAACGUUCGGAAACGGACGCUAAUACCGCAUACGUCCUACGGGAGAAAGCGGGGGACCUUCGGGCCUCGCGCCAUUAGAUGAGCCUAGGUCGGAUUAGCUAGUUGGUGAGGUAAUGGCUCACCAAGGCGACGAUCCGUAACUGGUCUGAGAGGAUGAUCAGUCACACUGGAACUGAGACACGGUCCAGACUCCCUACGGGGAGGCAGCAGGUGGGGGAAAUAAUUGGGAACAAGUGGGGACGAAAAGGCCU